rnacentral:lncRNA from 1 species
CGUGCACAAGCCUUGCUCAAAUCUGGGUCUUGCUCCCUGUUAGUCUGGUCCCUCCCAGUCCGAGAGCAAGACUGUCUGUGCCCAUUCACCAGGUCAAAGAACUUUGGGGUGUAGCCAUGUAAUUAGUCAUGGAAUUUGAAGCACUCCUCUCUGAUCAUGCAUUGCUUUUCUUUCCUUUUCCAGUGAGAAAAGAUGCAGUGAUCGGUAAGACUGCCUUAAUAAACCCAAAGAGUUGGCACCUUUCCAUGGCAGCAGCCAUGGGCUGAGCAGCUCCCCCUCUCUCAUGCCUUGUUUUUCUCUUCCUUUUCCAGCGGAAAAAGCUGCAGAGCUGGUGAGAAAAGAUGCAACUAUGGCAGAACAAGCUGCAGAGCUGGCAUGGAGAAGGUGUCUGCUGCCUCAAAAUAGAGGUAGGUGUGCAUUGGGUUGCCCUCUGAGGUGCUUCUCCUGCCCCUGGUGGGGCAUGUUCAG